UACGGGGGGGGCAAGCGUUGUUCGGAAUUACUGGGCGUAAAGGGCGCGUAGGCGGCUUUUCAAGUCGGGCGUGAAAUCUCCGGGCUUAACCCGGAAGGGUCGUUCGAUACUGUUGAGCUAGAGUGUGGAAGAGGCAACUAGAAUUCCGUGUGUAGCGGUGAAAUGCGUAGAUAUACGGAGGAACACCAGUGGCGAAGGCGACUCUUUGGUCUGUAACUGACGCUGAGGCGCGAAAGCGUGGGGAGCAAACAGG
rnacentral:rRNA from 1 species